ensembl:lncRNA
UCCUACACCUCUCACCGAGACGCACCUUAUCACAGAGCUACUACGAAAUCAGACAGAGAAAACAUUGUCCUUGACGGACAGCCUAAUGAAGCAAGCAAUGGAAUCCAUCAGGUUGUGUGAGUCCGACAGCCAGCCAGCAUCCUACACAGACCAACAUCAGAGACAGCACUGCCUUAUCCUCAUUUCAAGACCUCAGACUGAGAGGCAGAAGGCCAAUUCAUGGCCACAUGUUUUAGAUUUUGGAGCUGAAUGACUCACCUGGUUGUUGGCGACAACGCAGUAUGGCAUCUCAUCUGCAGCAAUCGUUAAACAGCAACCGAGCGGUGAAACACGUCCUAUUGCUUCGUGAAACACCCAAGUGUCCAACAGUACCUCUGGCCCUGGGGAUCCAACUGGUAGCGGAGCAGCAUUGGAACUAAGCCACAUGUUCUUGAAAGUAUUUUUAUUGAUGUGUUUCAAUGUG